rnacentral:ribozyme from 1 species
AAAAAAAAAAAAAAAAAAAAAAAGGGAGAGAGCGCGUGCGUGUGCUGUCUUCUUCUUCUUCUUCUUCU